rnacentral:rRNA from 1 species
UACGUAGGGCGCAAGCGUUGUCCGGAAUUAUUGGGCGUAAAGAGCUCGUAGGCGGCUUGUCACGUCGGAUGUGAAAGCCCGGGGCUUAACUCCGGGUCUGCAUUCGAUACGGGCUAGCUAGAGUGUGGUAGGGGAGAUCGGAAUUCCUGGUGUAGCGGUGAAAUGCGCAGAUAUCAGGAGGAACACCGGUGGCGAAGGCGGAUCUCCGGGCCAUUACUGACGCUGAGGAGCGAAAGCGUGGGGAGCGAACAGG